ACCCCAUGAUGAAUCUCUGAAGGUGAAUCUCCAUCGAGAGGCUAAUAUCAAGUUCACUGUGGACGUGCACC
ensembl:miRNA